UACACUCCUGCGGGAGGCAGCAGUGGGGAAUUUUGGACAAUGGGCGAAAGCCUGAUCCAGCCAUGCCGCGUGCAGGAUGAAGGCCUUCGGGUUGUAAACUGCUUUUGUACGGAACGAAACGGCCUUUUCUAAUAAAGAGGGCUAAUGACGGUACCGUAAGAAUAAGCACCGGCUAACUACGUGCCAGCAGCCGCGGUAAUACGUAGGGUGCAAGCGUUAAUCGGAAUUACUGGGCGUAAAGCGUGCGCAGGCGGUUAUGUAAGACAGUUGUGAAAUCCCCGGGCUCAACCUGGGAACUGCAUCUGUGACUGCAUAGCUAGAGUACGGUAGAGGGGGAUGGAAUUCCGCGUGUAGCAGUGAAAUGCGUAGAUAUGCGGAGGAACACCGAUGGCGAAGGCAAUCCCCUGGACCUGUACUGACGCUCAUGCACGAAAGCGUGGGGAGCAAACAGGAUUAGAAACCCCUGUAGUCCCAUGAU
rnacentral:rRNA from 1 species